rnacentral:rRNA from 1 species
UACGGAGGGUGCGAGCGUUGUCCGGAAUCAUUGGGCGUAAAGGGCGCGUAGGUGGCCCGGUCAGUCUUUGGUGAAAGCGCGGGGCUCAACCCUGCGUCGGCCAGGGAUACUGCCGCGGCUCGAGCACUGUAGAGGCAGGCGGAAUUCCGGGUGUAGCGGUGGAAUGCGUAGAGAUCCGGAAGAACACCGGUGGCGAAGGCGGCCUGCUGGGCAGUUUAGCUGACACUGAGGCGCAACAGCGUGGGGAGCAAACAGG